ensembl:processed_transcript
AGAUGGUGGUGGUGGCUUUGGCUGUUACCCAAACAGGUGCUGGGGAAAGAUGCAGCAGUUACAUUCAGACUGCUAAAAAGCAUGAUGGAAUAUGGUCCCUAAUAUGGAAUAGAGUAGACAGGAGUCCAUGGGGCAACACAGCCAGCUCAUCUUGUGGUGUCUGAUCAAGUCUCACUUGUUCUGUUAAAGGCAGGAACAGUGAUUAAGGUUCUGAUGCUUCUUUCACCAUUUAGAAAGGUAAGAAGUUGCAGAGCCUAACCUGUAGCAUGUGGUGGAACAGAGGAUAGACCCCUGGGUUAUGGGGACUCUAAGUACUGGGCCAUUUUGAGUUGAGUACUUUAGAGUAUCACCCCUUCCAGGGAAUAGUCUGAAUUUCUUCUAUUUUCUUCCCCAAAGAAAGCACUGCCUUGUGUGGGACUGAGUCAGGUUUUAUUGUCAGCACCCAGGCAGCAGCUCACAACCAUCUGUAACUUCAGUUUCAGGGAUGGGAUGGAAACCCUCUUCUAGUCUACAUAAACAGUAUGCCUGCACAUGGUAUACAGACACAGAUAGGUAGGAGGAGGAGGAGGAAGAGGAAGAAAGGAAGAAAAAGAAAGAAGGAAGAAUAAAUAAAUAAAUAAAACCCUCAUAUACAAAAUAUAAAAAAAUGCUAAGGAAUAAAGACAUGGAUGGAUGCAA